rnacentral:misc_RNA from 1 species
GAUGAAGAACGUAGCGAAAUGCGAUAAGUAAUGUGAAUUGCAGAAUUCAGUGAAUCAUCGAAUCUUUGAACGCACAUUGCGCCCGCCAGUAUUCUGGCGGGCAUGCCUGUUCGAGUGUCAUUUCAACCAUCAAGCCCCCGGCUUGUGUUGGGGACCUGCGGCUGCCGCAGGCCCUGAAAACCAGUGGCGGGCUCGCUAGUCACUCCGAGCGUAGUAAUACAUCUCGCUCAGGGCGUGCUGCGGGUUCCGGCCGUUAAAAAGCCUUAUUUACCCAAGGUUGACCUCGGAUCAGGUAGGAAGACCCGCUGAACUUAAGCAUAUCAAUAAGCGGAGGA